rnacentral:rRNA from 1 species
GAUGAACGCUGGCGGCGUGCCUAAUACAUGCAAGUCGAACGCAUUGUGGUUGAAAUGAUAUGAAGAACUUGUUCAGAUUUGAUUUUCAACAUUGCAAUGAGUGGCGAACGGGUGAGUAACACGUGGGAAACCUACCUCUUAGCAGGGGAUAACAUUUGGAAACAAAUGCUAAUACCGUAUAAUAAUUAAAACCGCAUGGUUUUAGUUUAAAAGAUGGUCUUGCUAUCACUAAGAGAUGGUCCCGCGGUGUAUUAGUUAGUUGGUGAGGUAAUGGCUCACCAAGACAAUGAUACAUAGCCGAGUUGAGAGACUGACCGGCCACAAUGGGACUGAGACACGGCCCAUACUCCUACGGGAGGCAGCAGUAGGGAAUCUUCCACAAUGGACGAAAGUACUGAUGGAGCAACGCCGCGUGUGUGAUGAAGGUUUCGGCUCGUAAACACUGUUGUAAGAGAAGAAUGACAUUGAGAGUAACUGUUCAA